UUUUAAACGGGAAUCGGCUAUAAGUUUGAUAUUGUGCUCACUAAAUCUCAAAAAAGAACCCCAAAAUAUAAAUAAUUUUUGGUGAGUAAUCGUGGGUGAUCUGCCCUACACUUUGAGUGGAGCCUGGGAAACUGGGUCUAAUACCGAAUAUUCACACCACCGUAGGGGUGGUGUGGAAAGCUUUAUGCGGUGUGGGAUGAGCCUGCGGCCUAUCAGCUUGUUGGUGGGGUAAUGGCCUACCAAGGCGUCGACGGGUAGCCGGCCUGAGAGGGUGUACGGCCACAUUGGGACUGAGACACGGCCCAGACUCCUACGGGAGGCAGCAGUGGGGAAUAUUGCACAAUGGGCGCAAGCCUGAUGCAGCGACGCCGCGUGGGGGAUGAAGGCCUUCGGGUUGUAAACUCCUUUCGCUAGGGACGAAGCCUUAUGGUGACGGUACCUGGAGAAAAAGCACCGGCUAACUACGUGCCAGCAGCCGCGGUAAUACGUAGGGUGCGAGCGUUGUCCGGAAUUACUGGGCGUAAAGAGCUCGUAGGUGGUUUGUCGCGUCCUCUGUGAAAUCCCGGGGCUUAACUUCGGGCGUGCAGGCGAUACGGGCAUAACUUGAGUGCUGUAGGGGAGACUGGAAUUCCCUGGUGUAGCGGUGAAAUGCGCAGAUAUCAGGAGGAACACCAAUGACGAAGGCAGGUCUCUGGGGCAGUAACUGACGCUGAGGACCAACAGCAUGGGUAACCAACAGAUUAAUACCCUGGUACUCCAUGCCAUAAAACGGUGGGCGCUAGGUGUAAGUGGUCCUCCAACUACUUGCUGUGCCCGCAACUUACCUAUUAACGGCGCUGGAGGAAGUUACGCGCCCCGCAAGGCCUAAAAACCUCCAGAGAUAUAUUGACCGGGCGCGCCCCUCCCACAGCGGCAGCAGCCCAUGGUUGUAUUUAAUUUCCGAUUGCUAUCGCGAAGAAUCCUUACCGUGGACUUGACACUGGA
rnacentral:rRNA from 1 species